rnacentral:rRNA from 1 species
CUAAGCGUACACGGUGGAUGCCCUGGCAGUCAGAGGCGAUGAAGGACGUGCUAAUCUGCGAUAAGCGUCGGUAAGGUGAUAUGAACCGUUAUAACCGGCGAUUUCCGAAUGGGGAAACCCAGUGUGAUUCGUCACACUAUCAUUAACUGAAUCCAUAGGUUAAUGAGGCGAACCGGGGGAACUGAAACAUCUAAGUACCCCGAGGAAAAGAAAUCAACCGAGAUUCCCCCAGUAGCGGCGAGCGAACGGGGAGCAGCCCAGAGCCUGAAUCAGUGUGUGUGUUAGUGGAAGCGUCUGGAAAGGCGCGCGAUACAGGGUGACAGCCCCGUACACAAAAAUGCACAUGCUGUGAGCUCAAUGAGUAGGGCGGGACACGUGGUAUCCUGUCUGAAUAUGGGGGGACCAUCCUCCAAGGCUAAAUACUCCUGACUGACCGAUAGUGAACCAGUACCGUGAGGGAAAGGCGAAAAGAACCCCGGCGAGGGGAGUGAAAAAGAACCUGAAACCGUGUACGUACAAGCAGUGGGAGCACGCUUAGGCGUGUGACUGCGUACCUUUUGUAUAAUGGGUCAGCGACUUAUAUUCUGUAGCAAGGUUAACCGAAUAGGGGAGCCGAAGGGAAACCGAGUCUUAACUGGGCGUUAAGUUGCAGGGUAUAGACCCGAAACCCGGUGAUCUAGCCAUGGGCAGGUUGAAGGUUGGGUAACACUAACUGGAGGACCGAACCGACUAAUGUUGAAAAAUUAGCGGAUGACUUGUGGCUGGGGGUGAAAGGCCAAUCAAACCGGGAGAUAGCUGGUUCUCCCCGAAAGCUAUUUAG